UUGCCGACCCCUGGACUAUACUGACCGUGGUGUCUUUGACAUGUGGGACCACUAGGGGGCAGUAACUGGCUGAUCAAUACAUGAAGAAGAACGACAAGGAAGCAAACCAGGGUUUGUUGUGAGUGCGUGUUGGAUGAAUCCUUCGUCAGACCAGAGGGGCAAGGCAAGAAGGCAGUCCGUGGGCGAGCAAGCGGUCGGGGGCUGGAGAGAGGCAACGAGGUCCAUGUCCAAGCAGGGGCCGAGAAUCGAGGGAGGCGGUCCAAAAUCCAGAGAGGAGUCGAGGCACACGGCUCGAUCACGGGGAACAGGCGUGGAAUCUUCCUCUGUCUUCUCCUUCCUGGACUCCGACCCCACAUGUGGUGUUUGUCCUUCUGACCUCCGGCAAAGAAGCCAAUUGACCGGUGAAGAAUGCGGAUGUCCACAUGACGCCGCAGCGCUUAAAAGCGUGCAGUGAAGACGCCAUGACGGCGUGCAGCUGACACACGAGCUGAUGGCUGACACAAGCGAUGACAUCGGCUGCCACUUCGAUGGCCGCCAUCAAAAACGUGGACGUCGAAGACAAGCUCUGCUCGUUCCAACGUGAUAGAAGACUUUCCACCCAAGGCACUGUCCUGCUGCUUCACCAUGUUUACAGUACAAACACAGUAUUCAGGUGGUGUAAAAGUACUAUGAUAUCAAAAUACUAUGAUGUCAUCUAACAUGUGUGCUGAUAUGACAAAGUUGCAAGUACAGCAUGUAGCAUGCUGAUUCAUCUGAAAUCAAAGGUUCAACUUCCAAUCCAACUCAGCACACUAAUAACUAAACAUACUAAUAACUAACUCACCAACCGAUGAUGAGCAACCAACAAACUAACUAAAUAACUAUCACUAGUACGCUAAACUUAAUCCAUACCAUAGCCUUUAAGUAAGUAACUAACACAGUUAAUCCAUACUUUAUACAAUUAAAAACUCAAUCUUCAAUCACUCCUCAACCAACAAACUAAUUUAAUCCCAGACAUUUACCAACACAAAUUGAAUUGACCAACUAUCUCAACCCUGAACUAACUGCACCUAAUGUGGACACAAUAACCCAGGGUACAACUAACAAGUGAACACAAAUAUAACUAAUUCUGCACUGAAAUAACAACCAACCAACCCAACUCUUAAAAAGCUAACUAUCCCUAAUUUUAACUAACAAACUAACUGAAUCAGUAUCCAUAUAUCAAACCUAAAUAAUUUAUCCAAAUGUAACUAACUCUACUAUAAGUAAACUGACAAACUAGAUAAUUUACUAAUUAUGAACUAAUACUAGGGCUGCAACUAACGAUUAAUUUGAUAAUAGAUUAAUCUGUCGAUUAUUACUUCGAUUAUUCGAUUACUAAUCGGAUAAAAGAGACAAACUACAUUUCUAUCCUAUCCAGUAUUUUAUUGAAAAAAAACAGCAUACUGGCACCAUACUUAUUUUGAUUAUUGUUUCUCAGCUGUUUGUAAAUGUUGCAGUUUAUAAAUAAAGGAUUAUUUAAAAAAAAAAAAUUGUUAUUAAAAAAAACAACAACAAAAACCCUCUGCGCAUGCGCAUAGCAUUGAUCCAACGAAUCGAUGACUAAAUUAAUCGGCAACUAUUUUAACAAUCGAUUUUAAUCAAAUUAAUCGAUUAGUUGUUGCAGCCCUAACUAAUACACUAACAAAUUUGCUGGUCAUACAACUAGCUAAGCCCCACCAAAACUAAUGAACUAAUCCAAGAGUAACUAACAAACUACCCUAACAAUAUAUAACCACCCCCGAUAUACACCAUUUUAUAACCACAAUGAAUCAAUAUCAAAAUAACUAGCAAAUUAACCCAUGUGUAACUAAUCCCUUUCAAAACUAGCUAAAGAAUCCAAUAGUAACCAAAAACUCACUAACCCUACCUUUAAAUAAUGAACAAAGUAGAUUAUUCUUCCUCCUAACUAACACAAAAAAAUUACUAUGUAACCUCAAGUGAGCUAACCUUCCAGCUAAUUAUUCCUACCCAGAUGAUGACUAUCUAUCUAACUAACUAACUGACUAACUAAUAUUUGGACACUGAGUCCUUGACAAAAUGAGUAAACAGAAUACUAUAUGGGGGUAUUUUACUAAUUAUUUAACAAACUUACCCUACCUUUAACUAAUAAACAAAGUAAAUAACUAUCCAUAUAACUAACUAACUAACUAACUAACUUUACAUUUAACCAAUGAACAAAGUAAAUUACUAUGCCUAAGUUUAACUAACUAACUAACUAGCUUUACCUGUAACCAAUGAAACAAGUAAAUUAAUAUCUAACCUCGAGUGAGCUAACCUUCUAGCUAAUUAUCCCUACCCAGAUGAUAGCUAGCUAACUAACUAACUAAACCAACUAAUAUUUGGACAUUGUGAGUCCUUGACACAAUGAGUAAACAGAAUACUAUUUGGGGGUAUUUUACUAAUUAUUUAACAAACUUACCCUAUCUUUAACUAAUGAACAAAGUAAAUAACUAUCCAUACCUUUAACUAACUUUACCUUUAACCAAUGAACAAAGUAAAUUACAAACGUACUAUCUAACCUUCAGUGAGCUAUUCUUCUAGCUAAUUUUCCCUACCCAGAUGAUAGCCAGCGAACUAACUAACUAAUAUUUGGACAUUGAGUCAUUGACUCAAUGAGUAAACAGAAUACUACAUGGGGGUAUUUGACUAAUUAUUUAACAAACUUACCCUACCUUUAACUAAUGAACAAACUAAAUAAUUAUCCCUACCUGUAACUAACUAACUAAUUAACUGACUAACUAACUAAUUUUACAUUUAACCAAUGAACAAAGUCAAUUACUAUCUAACCUUGAGUGAGCUAACCUUCUAGCUAAUUAUCCCUACCCAGAUGAUAGCUAUCUAACUAACCAACCAACCAACCAACCAACCAACUAACUAACUAACUAAUAUUUGGACAUUAAGUCAUUCACACAAUGAGUAAACAGAAUACUAUAUGGGGUAUUUUACUAAUUAUUUAACAAACUUACCCUACCUUUAACUAAUGAACAAAGUAAAUAACUAUCCCUACUUUUAACUAACAAACUAACUAACUGUACAUUUAACCAAUGAACAACAUACAUUAGUUAUUUAACUAACUAACUAAAUAAUAUUUGGACAUUAAGUCAUUCACACAAUGAGUAAAGAAAAUACUAUAUGGGGUAUUUUACUAAUUAUUUAACAAACGUACCCUAUUUUUAACUAAUGAACAAAGUAAAUAACUAUCCCUACUUUUAACUAACAAACUAACUAACUGCACAUUUAACCAAUGAACAACAUACAUUAGUUAUUUAGCUAACUAACUAACUAAUAUUUGGACAUUGAGUCCUUGACACAAUGAGUAAACAGAAUACUAUAUGGGGGUAAUUUACUAAUUAUUUAACAAAUUUACCCUACCUUUAACUAAUGAACAAAGUAAGUCAAUAUCCCUACUUUUAACUAACCAACCAACUAACUUACUGUACAUUUAACCAAUGAACAACAUACAUUCCAAUAUAACCUUAAGAGAGCUAACCUUCUAGCUAAUUAUCCCUACCAAGAUGAUAGCUAGUCAGCUAACUAACUAACUAACUAACUAAUAUUUGGACAUUGAGUCCUUGACACAAUGAGUAAACAUAUGGUGCAGGCCUGGGCAAUUAUUUUACUCGGGGGGCCAGAUUUAGAUUAAAAAAAAGUGUGUCUGGGGGCCGGUAUAUCUAUUUUUAGGAACACUAAUACAAAACCUCACAAUAAUAAUUAAAAGCUAAAAACGUAUGACAGACCGCCUUAAAAAACGGAAUGGAAUUUUAAUUUUUUUUUACUGAAUGAGGCACCCAGAAUGUACAUGAAAAUAAAGAAUGUGGGAUUUACACUAUUAACUAUGAAGGAUAAAACACUGAAUAUUGACAACAUAUUUUACAAUCAACCGAAACUUAACCAAAAUGCAACAAACCUAGUGAAAAAAACCCAUCCCUGCACAUCAUAAUGGCAGCUACACUUUCCAUCUUAAAAAUAUAAAACAAUUAUUUGGGAAUGUCCGGCGGGCCAGAAUGAAAAGCUCAACGGGCCGCAUGUGGCCCCAGGGCCUUAAUUUGCCCAGGUCUGAUAUGGUGGCAUUUUACUAAUUAUUUAACAAACUUACCCUACCUUUAACUAAUGAACAAAGUAAAUAACUAUCCCUACUUUUAACUAACAAACUAACUAACUGUACAUUUAACCAAUGAACAACAUACAUUAGUUAUUUAGCUAACUAACUAAAUAAUAUUUGGACAUUAAGUCAUUCACACAAUGAGUAAAGAAAAUACUAUAUGGGGUAUUUUACUAAUUAUUUAACAAACGUACCCUAUUUUUAACUAAUGAACAAAGUAAAUAACUAUCCCUACUUUUAACUAACAAACUAACUAACUGUACAUUUAACCAAUGAACAACAUACAUUAGUUAUUUAGCUAACUAACUAACUAAUAUUUGGACAUUGAGUCCUUGACACAAUGAGUAAACAGAAUACUAUAUGGGGGUAAUUUACUAAUUAUUUAACAAAUUUACCCUACCUUUAACUAAUGAACAAAGUAAGUCAAUAUCCCUACUUUUAACUAACCAACCAACUAACUUACUGUACAUUUAACCAAUGAGCAACAUACAUUCCAAUAUAACCUUAAGAGAGCUAUCCUUCUAGCUAAUUAUCCCUACCAAGAUGAUAGCUAGUCAGCUAACUAACUAACUAACUAAUAUUUGGACAUUGAGUCCUUGACACAAUGAGUAAAAUUAUGGUGCAGGCCUGGGCAAUUAUUUUACUCGGGGGGCCAGAUUUAGAUUAAAAAAAGUGUGUCUGGGGGCCGGUAUAUCUAUUUUUAGGAACACUAAUACAAAACCUCACAAUAAUAAUUAAAAGCUAAAAACGUUAUGAUAGACCGCCUUAAAAAACGGAAUGGAAUUUAAAUUUUUUUUUACUGAAUGAGGCACCCAGAAUGUACAUGAAAAUAAAGAAUGUGGGAUUUACAAUAUUAACUAUGAAUGAUAAAACACUGAAUAUUGACAACAUAUUUUACAAUCAACCGAAACUUAACCAAAAUGCAACAAACCUAGUGGAAAAAAAACCAUCCCUGCACAUCAUAAUGGCAGCUACACUUUCCAUCUUAAAAAUAUAAAACAAUUAUUUGGGAAUGUCCGGCGGGCCAGAAUGAAAAGCUCAACGGGCCGCAUGUGGCCCCAGGGCCUUAAUUUGCCCAGGUCUGAUAUGGUGGCAUUUUACUAAUUAUUUAACAAACUUACCCUACCUUUAACUAAUGAACAAACUAAGUCACUAUCCCUACCUCUUUCUAUCUAUCUAACUAACUAACUAGUUACGGAUUCAGAGCUUUAAACAAGUGACGCGAGCACCUAAUUGACACAAUAGUAAUAACAGUAAACGCCAUCAAAGCAGCCAUGUUGAAAAUCAUGUUGGCGUGCAAUUUUCCACACAAGCCACUUGGGAUCUUUUCCGCUCUUGUUCCUGUCAGUUGACAAGCUGACAUCGCUCGCCGUCUUAACCGCAGCUGCAGCACACAAGGCAUGAUAAUAAUAACGACGAUGAUGAUGAUGACGAGUAGGUCCAUGGAGGAGAAGGUGAAGGCGACCAUGUUGUUUCUUCCUCCUCGUAAAUGUUCCCGAUGAUGCAAACAAACAAGAUUUUCACGUGGAUUUCCGUCAGUUUACUUUUAUUUAUGUUUUUAAUCUUCUGCCGCUGGCAGCAUCAACAUAACGACCCCCCCCCCAACCCCCCUCCGUCGUCUGUCUCAAAGUUAUUAUGGUGUUUUGCUACACACCCCCACGCCCCCGCUCUGCACAGAUAACAAGCAGCCGUACUCAGCCGCCGACUCCUCUUCACCCAAAGCGCCGCUCGCUUAUCGUCCUUAAACACACCGCUCCCCUGAAACUAAUUAUAAUGCCGCCUUACUGCCGCCAGUACAGUCCAAGGAUUUUUCUCCAGCCCAAAUACUGCCUGAAUUAUCUUGUUUUUUUACCGGCAACUACGCUCCAACCCAGGUGAUCAACCUGGGACACUUUUUGUUGUUGUUGUUGAUUUGUAGUUUGUGUUUAUUUGGAACAUGCGUGCAUGCAACAUGAUACGUCACAAUUUCCAGUUCCUCUAUUCAACAUGCUCGAAAAAGAGUAGGAAGAAGCAGAGCUUAUUUAAUCCUACCCCUUUUCCUUUACAUAGCAGUUGCUAAAAACUUUUGUUCACUUCCUGUUCUCAAUUUAUUCACAAUAAACCCCAUAAGUAAUAACAAUAAAAAUAAAUAAAUAAUAAUUAGUGAAGUAAGUUAUAUUUCAUAUGGUGAGAUGGGUAAGAUUAUCUAGAAAAUGAAUGGAUGGAUGAGAUAAAUUCAGAAUGUUUAUCAUGGUUCUUCUUCUUUGUACUUUGUAAACACUUUAAAGGCCUACUGACACCCACUACUACCGACCACGCAGUCUGAUAGUUUAUAUAUCAAUGAUGAAAUCUUAACAUUGAAACACAUGCCAAUACGGCCGGGUUAACUUAUAAAGUGCAAUUUUAAAAUUCCCGCCACACUUCCGGUUGAAAAUCUCCUUUGGAUAAGAUUUAUGCGCGUGACGUCAUAAAAUGCACGGAAGUGUUUGGGCCCUAUUGGACACAAUACACAAAGCUCUGUUUUCUUCGACAAAUUUCCACAGUAUUCUGGACAUCUGUGUUGGUGAAUCUUUUGCAAUUUGUUUAAUGAACAAUGGAGGCUGCAAAGAAGAACGUUGUAGGUGGGAUCGAUCGGUGUAUUAGCGGCUAAGUACAAUACUUACAGCAACACAACAAGGACUACUUACCCUGAUAGAAGACGCCUAGCUGAUGCUUGCCGCCAAACCCACGGAUGAAGUCCUUCGUCGCGCCGUUGAUCGCUGGAACGCAGGUGAGCACGGCUGUUGAUGGGAAGAUGAGGGCUGGCUGGCGUAGGUGGAGCGCUAAUGUUUUAUCAUAGUUCUGUGAGUUCCGGCUGCUAAGUUGCUAAAUUAGCCUUAGCGUCGUUAGCAACAGCAUUGUUAAGCCUUACAAGGCUGAGAAUUUUUAACCGUGUAGUUACAUGUACAUGGUUUAAUAGUAUUUUUGCUCUUCUGUCUAUCCUUCCAGUCAGGGGUUUAUUUAUUUUGUUUCUAUCUUCAUUUGAGAACGAUGCUAGCACGUUAGCUCAGUAGCUAAGUGUGUCACCGAUGUAUUGUCUUGGAGAUAAAAGUCACUUUAAAUGUCCAUUUCGCGUUCUCGACUCUCAUUUUCAAGAGGAUAUAGUAUCUGAGAUGGUUUAAAAUACAAAUCUGUGAUACACAAUAGAAAAAAUAGAGAGUGUGGAAUCCAAUGAGCCAGCUUGUACCUAAGUUACGGUCAGAGCGAAAAAAGAUACGUCCAUCACUGCCUCUCAAGUCCUUCACUGUAACGUUCCUCAUCUACGAAUCUUUCAUCCUCGCUCAAAUUAAUGGGGUAAUCGUCACUUUCUCGGUCCGAAUCUCUCUCGCUCCAUUGUAAACAACGGGGAAUUGUGAGCAGCACAACCGCUUGUGACGUCACGCUACUUCCGGUACAGGCAAGGCUUUUUUUUUAUCAGCGAGCAAUAGUCGAUUUUCUCUACAAAAUCCUUUCAGCAAAAAUAUGGCAAUAUCGCGAAAUGAUCAAGUAUGACACAUAGAAUGGAUCUGCUAUUCCCGUUUAAAUAAAAAAAAAUUCAUUUCAGUAGGCCUUUAAUCCUACCCCUUUUCCUUUACAUAGUUGCUAAAAACUUUUGUUCACUUCCUGUUCUCAAUUUAUUCACAAUAAACUCCAUAAGUAAUAACAAUACAAAUAAAUAAAUACUAAUUGGUGAAGUAAGUUAUAUUACAUAUGGUGAGAUGAGUAAGAUUAUCUAGAAAAUGAAUGGAUGGAUGAGAUAAAUUCAGAAUGUUUAUCAUGGUUCUUCUUCUUUGUACUUUGUAAACACUUUAAGUUUGAAGUGCUUCUUGAAGUGGAUUAUAUUAGUACAUUAUUUGAUUUCUUUGUGUGGUGGAAUUUCUGACCUUUGUACCAUAUUUUGUGUCUGUCAAAGUCCGGGAAAGAGAGCGGGGUCGAAAAACAACAAGGAGGACACGACAGUAGUGGAAUUUCUGCUCGUUUCUCUUCUUUCUAUUCUGCACCAUUGGAAGAGCAUAUGUGGGUUAGAGUUGAACGUAUGGUCGGCCUGACCAUUGUACAAAACGUUUUGAUUGUUUAUUAUGGCUAAGGGAUUCAAGGAUGUUGCAGAAUAAACAGGUCCAAAACAACUGGACCUUGACACACGAGGGAAACACAUAAAUAACCAAGUAGACCAAGUCUAGGCAUGAUUCGCAUGAUUCUCGAUCCGUCCAACGUCUCCGGAGACGUUGUCUGUUUGCAUGGCAAUUCAAUCCAACCUUGUACCAUUUGAUUAUGGGUAAAUAAAACUUUUGUACUAAAUUCACUUUUGUUGCUGUUUAAGAUUCGGACAUUCCACCACAUUUGCUUAAUCCAUUCCAUAAUUUAAUUCCACAUACAGAUAUACUGAAGGUCUUAAGUGUUGUACGUGCGUACAAAUGUUUUAAAUUACAUUUUUCUCUAAGGUUAUAUUUCUCCUUUUUUGUUGAGAAGAA